ACAAGCGGUGGAGUAUGUGGUUUAAUUCGAUGCAACGCGAAGAACCUUACCAGGGUUUGACAUCCCCCGAAUCUCUUGGAAACGAGAGAGUGCCUUCGGGAGCGGGGAUACAGGUGGUGCAUGGCUGUCGUCAGCUAGUGUAGUGAGAUGUUGGGUUAAGUCCCGCAACGAGCGCAACCCACGUUUUUAGUUGCCAUCAUUCAGUUGGGCACUCUAGAGAAACUGCCGGUGACAAACCGGAGGAAGGUGUGGACGACGUCAAGUCAUCAUGCCCCUUACAUCCUGGGCUACACACGUACUACAA
rnacentral:rRNA from 1 species